GAAUAUAAAAUUUUGUUGUUGUAAACUUUCUUUGUUUCGUUCAUAUUUCCUUUCGAACUUGUCAAAGUAUUGAUGUUUACUAGUUAACUUUCAUAAUGAAAUAAAAGUAUCUUCUUAUUUCAUUAUUUCUUUCAAAUGGUUUGGAUUGAAGGAGAAACCCUUGUUUUUAUUUUGAUGUGGCUGAACUUGGAAUUAUUUGUCCAAGUUGCCUACGUACCCUCAAUGAAAAGGGAUUGAGUCAUCAUGUAGUUCAAAGGGAUUUUU
rnacentral:lncRNA from 1 species